rnacentral:rRNA from 1 species
AGAACGAACGCUGGCGGCAUGCCUAAUACAUGCAAGUCGAACGAAGGCUUCGGCCUUAGUGGCGCACGGGUGCGUAACGCGUGGGAAUCUGCCCCUUGGUUCGGAAUAACAGUUGGAAACGACUGCUAAUACCGGAUGAUGACGAAAGUCCAAAGAUUUAUCGCCAAGGGAUGAGCCCGCGUAGGAUUAGCUAGUUGGUGAGGUAAAGGCUCACCAAGGCGACGAUCCUUAGCUGGUCUGAGAGGAUGAUCAGCCACACUGGGACUGAGACACGGCCCAGACUCCUACGGGAGGCAGCAGUAGGGAAUAUUGGACAAUGGGACGAAAGCCUGAUCCAGCAAUGCCGCGUGAGUGAUGAAGGCCGUUAGGUUGUAAAGCUUCGUUUUGACCCGAGAUAGAUAAUGAAC